GAAGAAGCCCCCGCCCCUCUCCAGGCCUGUUCGCAUGGGACAGCUGUCACUCUUCAAUCAACCUGGGCCGACUUUCACUUGAGGGUGCCGUGUGAGGAAGCAAUCAUGCGAAUGUUGAUGCCAUAGAGACAACGCGGGGGAGGCUGAGUUUUGAAUGCACCUGGAGGUCUGGCAGUGGGAUGCUAGAAAGCCUCCUUGUUUGUAUUCAGGGCUUCUGUCUGUGCAACAGAACAUGCAGUUUGACUCUUCGCCACGCAUUGACGGGACAUAUUUUGCAAGAAUGUUUCUACUAUGGACAUGAAUUAUUUGCCAAGGGGUUUCAAGACUAUCCACCAGGAAUGUUUGAUUCUCCCAGAACGUUGACAGGGCUCCCCAGUGAGUCGGGACAAGCGAUGUCGAAGCACAGCGGUUCAGAUCGCCGAGGAAGGCUGCCAAGCGUCAAUCUGGGCUUCAGACAAUGCCGAAUCAAAUCCCCAUUCAUCCCUCGCGAACAAAGAAUAAUAUACAGACAUGUGAGGCACCUGCUUAAUCCAAAACCCACCUUUGCAGCAUUCAUGCUGUUAGCAGUACUUUGCCUAAGGCUUUUUUGCUAUCAAGCUGGCUGCGCUCGGGACAAGGUAAAGGAAAAAGGUGAGCCAGCGGGGUCGAAAAACCUGCAAAUUAGUUGUACAAAAAUUCUGAAAUGCAAACGAGCAACAGCACUAUUAUCAUC